GGGGGAAGGUAGCUUGCUACCGGACCUAGCGGCGGACGGGUGAGUAAUGCUUAGGAAUCUGCCUAUUAGUGGGGGACAACAUCUCGAAAGGGAUGCUAAUACCGCAUACGUCCUACGGGAGAAAGCAGGGGAUCUUCGGACCUUGCGCUAAUAGAUGAGCCUAAGUCGGAUUAGCUAGUUGGUGGGGUAAAGGCCUACCAAGGCGACGAUCUGUAGCGGGUCUGAGAGGAUGAUCCGCCACACUGGGACUGAGACACGGCCCAGACUCCUACGGGAGGCAGCAGUGGGGAAUAUUGGACAAUGGGGGGAACCCUGAUCCAGCCAUGCCGCGUGUGUGAAGAAGGCCUUAUGGUUGUAAAGCACUUUAAGCGAGGAGGAGGCUACUUUAGUUAAUACCUAGAGAUAGUGGACGUUACUCGCAGAAUAAGCACCGGCUAACUCUGUGCCAGCAGCCGCGGUAAUACAGAGGGUGCGAGCGUUAAUCGGAUUUACUGGGCGUAAAGCGUGCGUAGGCGGCUUAUUAAGUCGGAUGUGAAAUCCCCGAGCUUAACUUGGGAAUUGCAUUCGAUACUGGUGAGCUAGAGUAUGGGAGAGGAUGGUAGAAUUCCAGGUGUAGCGGUGAAAUGCGUAGAGAUCUGGAGGAAUACCGAUGGGGAAGGGCAGCCAUCUGGCCUAAUACUGACGCUGAGGUACGAAAGCAUGGGGAGCAAACAGGAUUAGAUACCCUGGUAGUCCAUGCCGUAAACGAUGUCUACUAGCCGUUGGGGCCUUUGAGGCUUUAGUGGCGCAGCUAACGCGAUAAGUAGACCGCCUGGGGAGUACGGUCGCAAGACUAAAACUCAAAUGAAUUGACGGGGGCCCGCACAAGCGGUGGAGCAUGUGGUUUAAUUCGAUGCAACG
rnacentral:rRNA from 1 species